AAUCCAUGUUGUGGACACUUCUGCAAGAGAUCCUUGAAUCGCUCCCACGUCUCAAACAAGGAUUCAAGCUCCAUCUUAACAAAUGACGAUAGUUUAUUACGAUGCAU